CAUCGCAGAGGCAGGGACUUUGAAGAGUGGAGCAGUAGUCUGUAGUCCUGUUCUCCUGCCCAGAGCCGUGCGGAGGGGCGCUGAUGUGACGCGGCAGUGGGGCUGGCUCUCCUCCGCUCUGCCUCAGUGCUCUGCCUGCAAUCACACACGGAUAUGAUAAACCAGCGCUGAACGCACCGAGACUCGGCUCUCACCAUGGCGGAAGAAGACGACGCCAAGAUACGGAUUUUACAGAGUCUGCGGGGGAAAAUCUGUGAAGCUAAAAAUCUGGCUCCAGUCUCUGGACCAAAUCGUCAAAGGGAUCUCUGUACAUUCUGCACCAUAAGCCUGGAUCAGGAGGAGGUUUAUCGCACAAAGGUCUUUGAUAAAAGUGUCAGCCCUUUCUAUGGAGAAGAUUUUUACUUUGAAAUCCCACGGCCAUUUCAGUGUUUAUCCUUCUACGUAUAUGCCAAAAGCGUUUUUCAAAGGGAACUCCCAAUUGGCAAAGUGUCAAUACGAAAGGAUGACCUGUGUAAAUACACCGGGAAAGAAGACUGGUUCAGCCUACAGCCAGUCGACCCCAACUCAGAAGUCCAGGGUAAAGUUCAUCUGGAAAUGAGGCUGGAUGAAGUUAUCACAGAAAAUGGCUCAUUGUGUCAACAUUUACGAGUCAGAAAAAUAGAGUGCCAAGGCCUGCCAUUGAUAAGUGGGCAGAACUGUGACCCGUAUGCAACAGUGUCACUUGUUGGACCAGCCAGGUCUGACCAGAAGAAAACAAAAGUUAAGAAGAAAACAAGCAAUCCUCAAUUUGAAGAGACCUUUUUAUUUGAGGUCACAAGAUCGAGCAGCUACUCAAAGAAGUCCCAUUUCCAGGUGGAAGAGGAGGACAUUGAGAAACUAGAAAUUAAAGUGGAAUUGUGGAACAAUGAGAAUCUGGCUCAGGAUGUGUUUUUGGGAGAGACGCGGGUUCCUGUGAAGAUCCUGCAAAAUGACCACAUCCACAAAGCCUGGUAUUUACUUCAGCCAAAAGGGAACGGCAACAAGUCUAAGUCCGAUGAUUUGGGAUCAUUGCGUUUGAGACUGACCUACAUAGAAGACACAGUGCUGCCCUCUGCCUGUUAUACUCCGCUCUGCAACCUGCUGCUCAAAUCCCCUGAUGUGAAGCCCAUCUCGGCGUCAGUGGCACAUAUUCUGGGGGAGAUCUGUCGAGAGCGUUAUGAGGCAGUGCUGCCCAUGGUCCGCCUUCUACUCUACCACAGUCGCUUUGUGCCUUUUGUGUCGGCUGUGGCUGCUCUGGAGCUGGACAACACUCAGGAGGCAAACACUAUUUUCCGUGGCAACUCUUUAGCAACGCGGUGUAUUGACGACAUGAUGAAGAUUGUGGGAAAGAACUACCUGGCAGUUACCUUGAAGCCGGUGAUAGACGAGAUCUGUGAAUCCAAUAAAACCUGUGAGAUCGACCCGGUGCGACUCAAAGAAGGGGAUAAUGUCGAGGCCAACAAGGACAACCUCCAGGGUUAUGUUCAGAAGGUCUUCUCCUCCAUCACCCAGUCCAGCGCCAACUGCCCCCCUCUCAUGUGUGACGUCUUCAGGUCUCUCCGACAUCUGGCCUGCAAACGAUUCCCAGCCGACCCACACGUGCAGUACUCGGCUGUGAGCAGCUUUGUGUUCCUGCGCUUUUUUGCUGUUGCUGUACUUUCGCCUCACUCCUUUCAACUCCGCUCCCACCACCCUGACCCAGAUAUCUCACGGACACUCACUCUCAUCUCUAAAACCAUCCAGACUCUGGGCAGCUGGGGCAGUUUAUCUAAAAAACUGUCUAGCUUCAAAGAAACAUAUAUGUAUGACUUCUACAAAUCAUUCCAAGAAGAGAAGUGCAUUGAAAAGGUUAAAAAGUUUCUUGAUGAGAUUUCAUCAAAUGUCAAUAAGGAAUUCAGCGGGGUGGAGGAUGCCCUGAUUCUCAAAGAGGGAGAAGUUCAGAAGCGUGCCCAAGGAAGAAAACGUCUUGGCAAGAAAAACUUUAAAAAGAGAUGGCUUCGACUCACCAACAGAGAACUGUCUUAUCAUAAACAUAAAGGGAAAGAGGCCCUCUGCACCAUAAGUGUCAAAAACAUCCAGGCUGUGGAGAAACUGGAUGAAAGUGCCUUUAACCGCAAAAAUAUGUUUCAGGUGGUGCACUCAGAGAAGCCCUUAUACGUACAAGCAGGAAACUGUGUAGAGGCCAGUGAGUGGCUGGAGGUGCUGGGCCAGGUGAGCCGCUGUAACCAGGGCCGUCUGGAGAGUUUUCACCCAUCCACCUUCAGCGGGGGAGUGUGGCAGUGCUGCAGGAGCCAGAACAGCAGUGCACCAGGCUGCAGGCCAUGCACCACUACAAUGCUGGCUAACCUGCAGCUGGACAUUGACUGUGAUCGAGAAACAGAGAGGAUCUUCUCUCUUCUGUCCUUAAAUGACACCAAGCUACACAACAUGGAGGGUGAGUACUCCAAGAUGCUUGUGCCGCCUUGGCGGUGUACCAGGGCCCUCAGCGGGAGCAGGAUGAAUACUCCAAAUUCACCAUUCAGGAACCCAAAGAGACCUUUCAGACACUCAAACAGCUGCGCAACGUGAUGGAAGAGCUGCAGCGCCAGCACAACCUGCGGGGGGACACCACAGCGCAGUACGGCAGUCUGGACAAUCCAAUCGUAGGGAAGACCUCAUAAGUGACAGUGAGAGUGUGCAGUGUAUAACCUGCACUACAGUGAAGUCCAGUGGACCUGGAGUGGACCACAGAGCCACAGGUCCUGAACUGUGGAAACACGACCAAGAGUCAAAUGUGAAGAAGCCUGUGGCGCACAGGACCCGGAGGCACAGAAGGGUUUCUCCCCAUUUUGAAUCAUGGGCACAUUACAGGGGAGUCUAUGUUGAAAUUAUUUAUAUCAUAUCAUCAAUGCCCUUUUUCAUAUCCAAAGCUGUGUGAAGAAGGCAUCAUUAGAUGGUGUGUGAAUAGGCUGCUAAUUUUUUUAUUCAUCCACUUUUAUAUAAAUACCUGUGAUCAUUUAAAUGAGUCCUAUAAGGAUAAUGGUCUAUUCAGAGACAAGAUGGGCCAUCUACUUUUGACCCUUACAAUCUUUCUGCCCAUAGUGUCUUUACCUUUCCAAUGAAUGUAUAUAUUUCAUCUUUAGAUACACUUACUUUUCCAGUUUUUACGGUGAGUAGAUCAGACCAAUCUGCCUUACUUUGAUGGAUGUUUUUCUCACAUUAAAUGCUGAGGGAAUAAUGCAAAAGCACUUUAAAUAUUUGGAGCUUUCCAAAUAGACAUGACUAGAUACUUAGUAUCAGCUACCCCUUCGAUCAGUUCCAUGAUCUCCAGUACGUGUUGUUCAUUCAGUAAUAUGACAUUUAUUGCCUGUAGAUAUAAAGAUAUUUUUCUUGACCAAAGAAAAUUUCAUAGAUUUGACUUGAAAAGGAAAAAAGAAUUAAUGUAUUUUCAUGACAGAUGUUUUAAAAUGGACAAGUCUUUAUCUGUGUAUGUGUGUGUUUAACAUAUCAUUUAUUUGAAGUUGGAUGUCUUCAGAGAGAGAAAGAGAGAGAGAGAGAGAGAGAGAGAGAGAACUCAUGGCUGUGGUGUCUUUGUCAUUCUUUGGCUGCUUCUCAAUUCUCUUUCCACACUUCCUUCUCCUUGAUUCCUCUCCUCGAUCCUCCAUUUUUCAACUGUCAAUCAAAUGUGUCAUAUUAAGUGGUGUCCCAAAGAAAACCACAGACUGAAGGAGUAAACCUGAGGAUGGCUUCAGGCGCAGACAUCACAUAAAAGAAUCAAACUUUAUUGGACUCAGUGAGGAGUUUAUAUCCUCUCUCCUCCCUGUGUCUCCUCUGUGGGCGGGACUUCCUCACCCAUUUCCUGCAGAAUGGAGGAGAGAGGAAUCAAGGGGAAGGAAGUGAGGAAAGAGAAAAGAGACACAGCCCAUGUGGUACUGCAUUAAACACAUGCUAGGGCCUAAAGUGACAAGUGACGGUGCUAAAAUGAGCGUUAUGAGUCACCUAAUAACAGCCAACUAACAUAAAACAUAUUACUGUUUUAGCCAUUAACAAUGCCAAUACUGUUUUAACUCCUUGCUCUGUACUGCCAGAACCAACCAAUUCAUUCAUUUUGAUUAUAAUUUUAAGAAGAAAACACCAGCACAUGUUUAAUAUACAGUACCUGAGUGUAGUUUUGUCAAAUUUAUUCACAUCCAGCAUUCACCAUCAAACUGAAUGUUUUUGACCAUAUCAUUUUCCCUAUUGCCUAUAUACGAACAAUGAAGUGUUAAUACAAGACAUACAAGACUUGAAUACUCUUUGACAUAUGAUGGACCAGUCGAUAUUGUUAAGGGGGUCUUUGCCCUCCUGUUUAUGUGUUUUAUUUAACUGUUUUUAUCAAUGAUGUGUAAUGCCACUGUUUUGACAUUUGUCUUUGUCUCCACUAUUUUAACAUUCUGCAAAACCAAUCACUCCAGAAAAAAAUUAUAUUUUUCAACCACAUUAGACCAGUUUCAGUUGCUAAAAAUAUUGAAAGUGAAUCAAAUUGGGCAAUUUAUGUAUUUUGGCGAAUCAAAAUUGGAGCAUUUCUUCAGAAGAGUAGCUACAGUGCGGUACAUGAGUUUAGAUCAUGACGUUUUUUGACAGUCAUGCCAAAAAACUCUCAAAUCAAGCAUCAAGUAUUAUUCAGUUCUUCAAGUUGUUUUUUCCAACUUGAACUUUUCUGGCGACAAUUCCCAAAACCACUCCAGCAGCAGCAUUUUAAUCCUGUUUACAGACAUCACAUUACACCAGACAAGCAGUCAUUCUCAGUGCCAGUUCAAUGAAGAUUUAUUCUUAAUCAGUUUUCUUUUUAAGGGAACAUUCUGCCUCCUGUACACAAUAAUCACAAAAAAUUUUAUCGUUUUAAAGCUAAAUUUGACAACGUUUAAUUUUUGGUACAUGAGGUGCGUUUAAAACUGUACUUUUAUGAACAAAUCUAAGGGAAGAUCUAAACAUGCUUUAACUUAUCUGGAAAAUAAGCUGUCUGUGCAAUCAUCCCAUUGCCAAUAUACUUCAAAACAUUUCAAUUUUGUAUGUUUUUACUGUUGUUUUUAUGUCGGAAUAUGUAAGGAAUCCUCAAAACUCCAUAAAGUGUGUGUUUUUUAUGUUUUGUUUUCCACUUGUUUGUCACUUUUGUCCAGUUAACAAUAAACCAGUUGCCAGUCAA